rnacentral:rRNA from 1 species
UACAGAGGGUGCAAGCGUUGUUCGGAUUUACUGAGCGUAAAGGGCUCGUAGGCGGCCAACUCAGUCGGACGUGAAAUCCCUCGGCUUAACCGGGGAACUGCGUCCGAUACUGGAUGGCUCGAGUGUGGGAGAGGGAUGCGGAAUUCCAGGUGUAGCGGUGAAAUGCGUAGAUAUCUGGAGGAACACCGGUGGCGAAGGCGGCAUCCUGGACUACUACUGACGCUGAGGAGCGAAAGCCAGGGGAGCAAACGGG